rnacentral:rRNA from 1 species
AUGAACAGUACGACAAAGUGUCCUCAGUAUGGUAUGCCGAUUGGUGCACAUGAUGGGUUUGAGGAGGUAGGGUCGGUUGGGAAUGUAGAGGUUGAUGGUGAGUUAUCUGCUCAAAUGAAUGCUCUGAAUGUGCACCUUGCAAAAGAACGAAUGGAGUGUAUCAAUGUUGAUGAAAUAAAUAAGCAGCUUGAGACAAAGGAGAGGCAAGGACAAAAAAUUGGGAAGGGGAAGAAGAGUGGGGGAAGCAAGCUGUCAUCAAGCGCACGACGCCCUCCUCUCGGCAAAGCAAACCUUUUUACACAGCUGACAUGA